AGAGCAACAGGGAUUUACGGGAGUUAAAGGAGUCAGUCACAUCUCCAGGAGAGGAGGAAAGAGUUGCAACCAUUUGCAUCUUUCGUUAAUAUCACUCUAAAGGAAACCCAGACCACAGUUCGCGUGCUAGUCCCUGUCUUUACCAGCUAUGCUCACCAAAACACUGUGUCGUAUGAUGACUGGGGCAUAGCGAUGUUUUAUGUUAUGUGUGGGUAAAUUGGUGGAGGGAAAUAUGUGUGUAAUCCAGUGUAAUCUGUAAGGUAAUUAAUUAUGUGUGAUUGCUGGCUGGCUGUGUGGACUGCGUUGGAACUCCUUGAAUGGACAAAUCGCACACAGCUUGUUAAUUGAAAGAUUGGGACGGUGGCGGGAACAAUCCUUUUUAUACGGGACGUCCCUGACCGGGAGAGGACUCGUUUUCCCAGGGGGCUCGAGAGGAGUGGCGUCAUCACGCUGCGACAGAGGAGCAACGAAAUGACAACAAUCCUUCAGCAGCCGAUCGGUGCGGGAGAAGAGCAUGUUUACAUGCCGACUUAAGGGAAGUGCUUUCUCCUGCUUCUGUAUGCCUGUGAGAAUGGGCCAUCAAGGGGUAUUUCGGUGUGUGAGAAUGUGUUUUGUCUCCUGGAGGCACAGAUCUGAAAGCAGUAGCUGACGCAAACCCGGAAGUGGCAUCGUAGAGGGAGAGGGAGUGCAACGCGAGUGAUCGCCUACUUAGAGGAAACGUAUGGGUGUGCAGUGGAGCGGUAGGCAACUGGAACGCAGGCUACCGAGAGCCAGUGGAUCGCCGUCGCCCCGCCCCCUGAAGACUGGACUGUGCUAAGGACACUGGUUGGUGGGGCUGCGGUUGGUGUUAUUGACUGUGCUGGUUUUGACUUUUUAUUUUGGUCGGCGUGGGGGACUGCCGCCGACCAAAUUUGAUUAACUCUUCCCUCUAUCUGGUCAGACAGUAGGCCUACACCCGCUCAGAGGGGUGGGCUAGGACCUCGCAAGCACCUCUUAUUAAUGUACGGGUUUUGUUGGGUGGGGCUGUAAGCUUAGUAGUUAGGAGGCAUGUAUGUGCAGGACGGGAAAGGGUGACUAUUUAAAAGUGUGGCAUUGUGUGGAACUGUUGUGCUGAUUCUCCCAUUUUCACCUGUGUGAAUAUCCUUGUAGUGACUGUAUGUGUGGCAGGGUCCUGGGAUUUGGUAUCCCCUGAGUGGUGUUACAGCACUUAUUUUUCUUUUGUUUUCAUAUGAGUUGUGGUUUUCUAUGUGGAUGUAUAGUGUGGACCUUUCUGACUGCAUUUUAUGUGUGGCUCCUAAAUUACUAACGGGGGGCUGGUAAUGCUAAUCUCUUCGUUCAGAGGUACGCCUGAUGUACAUGUGGGCGGGCGGGAUUCAUGUUGGUGUAUUGCUGAGGUGCUGCUCAUUUUGCUGAAUGUGUGUGGCUGCUGACCCUUGUAAUAAAAUUUGUAGCUGUGAUCUGA